rnacentral:tRNA from 1 species
GCCUCAUUCGUCUACCGGUUAGGACACCAGCCCCCUCAGGCUGGAAAAGUUUGGUUCGAUCCCAGCAUGAGGUACCA